rnacentral:lncRNA from 1 species
GGAAGGGGAACAGAAGCACGGUGAUCAGGAAAGGAGGAUGUUGCUGCCUGAUUCAGUGUAUUACUGUGAUCUGGGGCUGAUGGGAUGGAAUGGAAGAGGACUCCGUCUUUAGAGCGAAUUUGGGGUGAUUUAGAGCAAAUCCAGAACUCUGAUGCUUAACGAGGCACUGUUGAAGCGGAGCGGUGUUCAUAACAUCACAUCUGCGUUGGUUUUCUGUUACACCUGGAAUACUGACAAAAAUAUAAGUCCUGCGCUCUUCAGCAGAAGCCUUUUCUAGUGUCCACG